rnacentral:lncRNA from 1 species
GAUUAAACCUGGGCUUCUGCUGAUUGCCAGUCAGUACAUAAAGAGUGUCAAGGUAAAAGCUGAGAAGUGUCGCAGCGCUAUUCCUAGAUCAAAAGAUAAAAAUUUGCAAGGGAGGGCAUCAGGUAUACUCCGGCCCUGCUUGGUCUCUGGCAGCAGUUCAAGUUCUUGGCUUGUCCUGGGCCUGUGCCCUACAAGGGGCAGCCAUCUGCCCUGGGCCAUCCUCUUCACAGGUCUCCCUCAGUUUCAGGCACGUGCCUCCCAGCCCUUGGGAACCCAUGGUAGAUUCUAGAAUGCCUCUGUGUGAUCAGUUUAACCCAGUACUAAUGCCUCUUCCAUCAACAGAUUCCUCAAAUGAGUGGCCUCAGUUCUUCCACCUAACCACUGGAGUCAACUGGAAGUCUGAACUCAUGAGGCAAGAAGAUCUGGGACUGCUCAGCCUGAGAAGAGGAGGCUUGGGGCAUUGCAUGAAUGCCCACAAAUACCUGAAGGGAGGAUACAAAGAAGGCAGGGCCAGGCUCUUCUCAGUGGUGCCCAAUGACUGGGCAAGAGGCAGUGGGUACACACUGGCACACAGGAGGUGCCGUCUGAACAUCAGGAAAUUUUUUCUGUGUGCAGGUAACAGAGCACUGGCACAGGAUGCCAGAGAGGUUGUGGAGUUUCCAUCCCUGAAUGCAUUCAAAACCCAAAUGGGCAUGGUCUUGGGCAACUGGCUGUGGGUGACUCUGCUUGAGCAGGGUGGGUUAGACCAGAUGGCCACCAGAGGUCCCUGCUAACUUCAGCCAUUCUGUGAUUUCAUCAUUCUGUGAAAUGUGACUACAGUAGUCUGAGAAAUGGCAUUGGUUCUGUUCGAGAAAUUGUUAAAUUUACUAGGAAAAAGAUUUUUUGUUUGUUUGUUUUAAUCUUAUAUGUCUGGAUCACUUCAACUGCUUAGAAAUAGGGUAUUUUUGUUGAUUUCUUUUUGGUUUUGGUUUUACUUCUUUUCUAAGGACAUGCUGUUGAAGACCUGCUAUUCUUAACAAGGUGGCAACAGACUGUAAAAGAGAAAACACUUAAAAAUUAUAAUAAAAAAGCACACCCUUAUUAUAGCA